CCUGUUGUUCUACCAACAGAAUCUUACUGGUACAUGCAAUGGAGUGUGUAUGAAAGCUAUUAGAACAAUGUACUCAGCUCAAAAAGAGAUUAGAAUUGCGAGAAGAAGAUUAGACUACUAGUAUCAUAACAUAAUGAAAAAG
rfam:Orientia tsutsugamushi str. Sido sido.contig.53_1, whole genome shotgun sequence.